rnacentral:rRNA from 1 species
UACGAGGGGAGCUAGCGUUGUUGGGAAUCACUGGGCGUAAAGCGCACGUAGGCGGAUUUGUAAGUCAGGGGUGAAAUCCCGGGGCUCAACCCCGGAAUAGCCUUUGAAACUAGAUGGCUUGAAUCUUGGAGAGGUCAGUGGAAUUCCGAGUGUAGAGGUGAAAUUCGUAGAUAUUCGGAAGAACACCAGUGGCGAAGGCGACUGACUGGACAAGUAUUGACGCUGAGGUGCGAAAGCGUGGGGAGCAAACAGG